UGCUCGUUGGUCUAGUGGUAUGGAUACUCGCUUCGAGAGCGAGAGGACCCAGGUUCAAUUCCUGGACGGGCGC
rnacentral:tRNA from 1 species